rnacentral:lncRNA from 1 species
CUCUCUCCCCCUGUAAGUGUUUGCAUCCCAAUAUAAGACUUUUAGACUGCAGAUUCUCCAUACAGGUAUCGGGAAAUUAAGCCUACAGGUUUACAUGCCUUUAUCUUCUUGCUUCUUCUCUUCUUCCAGCCUCUUCUUUUGUCGUUUUUCAUGGCCAGAAAGAUAUUUUCGUUUCUUGUCAGACAUCGUCGGAGUAACUGACUGACAGACACUGACCAGGUGACGAGUGACAUCAUAGGGGUCAGUCAGGGUCAAGAUUCGCGGGGAACUCGCCAUAAUAAAGAACUAAAUAAAUAACAACUGUGCUUAUCAUGAUGCCUGAUAAGAGCGCUGUAGGUAGCUAGCAGUGACUCUAGGGGCCCUCUGCUGGCCACGGGGCCUUUGCAAUUGCAAAGGUCGCUUAGUGGCUUGGCCGGCUCUGAUUCUACCCUCAACAAAUCAUUUCAGAUGACAGAGAAAUCACCUUGCAUGUUUGCAUGCAAAAAAAAAUAAAAAUAAAAAAAUUCAGCAGACAAAUUACAGCAGGCAAAAUUUACUUUCAUGGUCACACAGAAAAUCUAUUUACAAUAAAAGAGAAGUAAUGAAAUGCACCUCUUCCCCCGAACCCAACAGAUUUUUUUGAAUACCUUAAUAGCAAUGUGGACUACAUCCUUCAGAAUUCUUACACAGAGAGAAUGCUGAUUUGUAUGAGCUAAUUGAUGAGUUUGGAUGGACAGUUUGAAGGGUGUAUAACAGUUGACAAUGACAGUUUGAACUUUUGAAUACCUUAAUAGCAAUGUGGACUACAUCCUUCAGAAUUCUUACACAGAGAGAAUGCUGAUUUGUAUGAGCUAAUUGAUGAGUUUGGAUGGACAGUUUGAAGGGUGUAUAACAGUUGACAAUGACAGUUUGAACUUGCAUAAGAAGUAAAAUAUUCACAGUAUUACAAUUGUACUUUGUUAGAACUGUAUUCCCUCCACACUACAUCACAUGUGUACAUUAAAUAUGUAUUUAUCUUAAAGGUCUCUCCACUUUACACAUAGUGGUGUUGUUGCUGUGUGGUCUUGCCUUUGGAUCUGCAUCUCUGCUGGGCUGCCUAGUUUGGCGUAAAUUUAAUUCAGAAGAUUUUCAUGGUUUUUCAGUUCUUCGUUGGUCAUUUCAUUUGCUCCCAACCCUGUUUAUGGUGAUUGCCUUCAUUAUUUGGGGUUUCAUUGAUGGUAAGUAGUCUAUUUUAUUUAAUUUCCAGAAUGGUGAACUUAAAUGACUUAACAGUACUUUGCUCCAGGUAUAAAAGUUAAAAUAAGCAUACUGAAUUAGAUUUCCCACAUCUCCUGCAUUCACGUGUCAGUUUGUCAGCACCUGACAGUCACGGUUCAGACUCUGCUGGCUAGUAAACUGCAUGAACACAAUGGAUAUGUAAGCAAAAAUUAAACAAGAAAAAAGUCAGUAAAAUUGUUUUGUUUUGUUUUUUACCACAAAAACUAAACAACCUAACAAAAUAGUAGUCUGAUAAAUUAUUCCAAGUCCUUCACACAUGUCCAAUUUCACAUGGUGCAAUAUUCAUUGGAGAUGCACUGUAAUUACCCGUGUGUUGUCUUUAAGUCAAAUGUGAGGGGGUUUUAAGUUGAUUAAUUUUUUUUUUUUUUUUUUUGUACUGUCCAUUGUAUUAGCUCAUCUUCACUCUUAAAGGGAUCACUUACCCGCAUGUCGUUCAACCCGUAAAAGCUCCAUUCGUCUUCAGAACACAAUUUGUAAGAUAUUUUGGAUGAAAACAGGGAGGCUUGAGACUGUCCCAUUGACUGAUAAAUAAUAACAGUGUCAAGGUCCAGAAAAAGUAUGAAAAGCAUCGUCAGAAUACUCCAUCUGUCAUCAGUGAUUCAACCGUAACGUUGUGAAGAGACGAGAAUACUUUUUGUACACGAAAAAACAAAAAUAACGACUUUAUUCAACUAUUCCUCUCCUCUGUGUCUCUCCACAUCACCGUAGCACCGUUUUGGCAAUUCUGAGCAAUAUGCAGGCGGCAUACAGUCUUCUGUGUCAGCCACACCACAAGGAUACAUUUUUUACGUGUAUUUACGCUUUGGUUUGAAAGAAAACAACGCAUCGGCGCAGCGUGCACGUAAGCCAUCUGCGUACAGCUCAGAUUUGCCAAAAUGGCGCUAAUUAGCUUGCUGGCUAACAAUUAGCAUGCAGUCCCAACCUCAAAACUAACAAAAUGCAGGAAAUAUUAUAGUUCUACCACUAAUAGAAAGAAUUAAAUCUUACAGUUAUCUUAUUUUCAAAAUUUACAUUUGUUUUGAAAGUAAAACUCAAAAUAAAUGUAAGAAAGUGAAUGUUAAAAAUAAAAUUGCCUUUGCUCAUUUAUGUGAUGUUUUUUUUUUUUUUAUUACUUCUAGGUAGGUCCCUAAACCUUAGUAAGUAGGUAUACUACGUUGGUCUCCUAGCUCUUAACCUAUUUAGUUUUAGUAAAGUAAAAACUACUAAAAUAAAAUAGUAAGUAAAAGUGUAAAUAGUUUAAAAAUUAAAAUUGUCCUUUGUCUCUAUUUAUGUGUAUGUUUUUUUUUUUUAUUCUCAGGUGCCCUAAAUGAAGUGAUCAGUUGCUCAGCUCUUAAUUUACUACGACCUCUCUGCUGAUUGUAACUGUUCCACAAGAAGUUACAGGUAUGUCUUUAAAAGAAAUUAUGAUGCACAAUUUCUUAAUAAUUUCAGAAGAAUUUAUGAUCCAACAGAUGUGAAAAAUUUGUCACCUUUGACCUCUGCUUCCCCUCUCCACCUGUUGAUAUAAAGGCUGUUUAUGACGCUAUCCCAUGUAUGACAAGGAUGUGAUUAUGA